GUGCUCUCUUCAGCAGCACAUAUACUAAAAUUGGAAUGAUACAGAGAAGAUUAGCAUGGCCCCUGCACAAGGAUGACACGCAAAUUCAUGAAGUGUUCCAUAAAAAA
ensembl:snRNA U6 U6 spliceosomal RNA